UUAAGAUACACCCUAAGCACCCCCCACAGGAUGUGCUCUUAGCUCAUAAGGUUCUCACUCUGUUUCUCUGUCGUUUAUUUUCAUCAUUGGAAUUCAAUUCUUUUUCUUUCUCUUCUCAUUCUCACUCUAACCCCGCUUUAUUAGUGUCAGAACCUCCUUUUUUCUUUCUUCCCCGUAGAUCUCUCUCUCCUUUCGCUUUAGAGGGUCCAACUUGCUUCCAGAUCUUGCGCCGAUUUGGAUCACUCUUUUGACUCUCUGUCUUCCAAUUCUAUCGCCGCCGCAGAUCCGUUCUCCGAUCCACGCCGUCAUGGCGGCCGCCAACGCUCCGAUUGCCAUGCGAGAACCUCUCACCGUUCAAUCACUGGGAGUUACUUGCAACUUAGAGCUGCAAAAUUCCACCAAAGACCAAUUAAUGAGCAGGGAUAGGUUGGUGGCUUGUGGCAGGUCUGUAGCUAGCAGAUAGAGUUGAUUCCUUCUUGAUGUUUUGUUGUCUUAACUACCUAGUGUAGUAGUGGUUGUACUUUUUUUUUUGUAUACUUUGAAUCUAGUCAGACUUGAACCUUAU